UACAGAGGGUGCAAGCGUUAAUCGGAAUUACUGGGCGUAAAGCGUGCGUAGACGGUUAAGUAAGUCGGAUGUGAAAGCCCCGGGCUCAACCUGGGAAUUGCAUUUGAGACUGCAUAGCUAGGGUGCGGAAGAGGGAAGCGGAAUUUCCGGUGUAGCGGUGAAAUGCGUAGAUAUCGGAAGGAACAUCAGUGGCGAAAGCGGCUUCCUGGUCCAGCACCGACGUUCAGGCACGAAAGCGUGGGGAGCAAACAGG
rnacentral:rRNA from 1 species